GGGAUCGCCGGGCGCUACCUGACAGGGCAGCAGCCAGAGUUCCGGAUCAUCUGCAUGGCCCUUCAGGACAUGACGGAUGACACCAGCCCUACCGUCUCAUGCCUGGCACUUCAAACUCUGUACAUCAAUUUAGCUGUACAGAGCAUUCCCUCCUCCCGACUCCAGAAGAUGCGAGACCAACUCCGCCAGCUCUGGAAGUCGCGGCCUUUCCUGUUUCACCGUGGCUGAGUGUCCUGCUGCGGCGCCGUGGAGAAGUGAUCCGGGAGGCUGCGUCUGCUGGGGCCACCUGAACCUGCGGGGAACACCUCUCCUCUGCAAGCACUUCCUUUCCCACCCUCUAUAGGAACAUUAAAUUGCUGUUGUCAUA